UGCUAUGUUUACAAUGGAGUAGAUAGUAGAUAUUCCGCUGAAAUUAAUUGAUUUUUCGAAUUUAAAAGUUUAUGGCUAUUGUGAGAAAUUAAAAAGUAUGCUUGGAAUUGAUUUCUCUUUUCUUGAGGUCAACAAGUAGGGUCUUUUGUUAUUCAAGGAAAAACAUGUGAACAAUAUUUGCUUCAAAGUAAUGCCGGAUAUCACGGUGCUUAUAAUAAGCCGUGUUAAGGCCGAAAUGAAGAAAUCAAUAAAUUAUGAAACAUCUGUGCAAUUUCUGCAGAAAACGAGAAAAAUUGCUAAAGAAAUAGUUGAGAAAUGCAUCUCAAUUGACAAAGAGAAUAAACUCCAGGCAGAAUGCAUAGAAAAGCUUCCCAUAGUGUCAAAAGAAUAUGUCGUGUCAUAUUAAAGCGAAAUCCAUUAUGGGAAUUACUCCAAGUCUUUCUUCAACAACAGUUUUUAACAGAAAGGGAAAAAAUUCAUUUGGCAGAGAUAGAAACAAAUUGCAUACUACCAUCAGUAUAAAAGAUUGUCCUGGCUAUAAGAAUGGAUAUGUAUAUUCUCUUAUUAUUGAUGAACUCUGAAGUUUUCACUUUUGGUUCAACUGAUGAGACGAUGGACGUUACUGCAGCUACAACUUCAGCCUCUAGCUGUCAAACUGAAAAAAUGAGGGAAGUCUAUGCUGAUGUGCCUGUCGAGGUCCUGUCAUGUGAAGACUGCAAUGAGGAGUUCCCAAACUUCGGGAGCUUCACAGCCCACCACAAGCAGAGACACUCUAGCUAGCUGUGACUAAUGCAGAAAGAGUAGUAAAAACUAUCUCUCAAUCACGAUCCACCGUGGGAAAUGCAAAAGUGGGUGCCGAAGGGCUGCUUUAUCAACGAAUAACGUAUGUCCUGAGUGUGGAGUGGGAUUCUCUUCUAAGAUGGCACUAACGCAGCAUUGGAGGCAUAAGCACUUAACCAUUCUUAACCAGGAGUGGUUACAACUCAGUAUGGCUGCAAAUCCAUGAUGAUGUUCCGAAGCGGAGACAAUGGUGGAAUUGCGCGCUGCUCUUCUCAGGGAGUUAGUUGAGCAGUCCUUGCCCAGAUUCCCAGUAGGACUAGAACCCAGGUAUAUGAUAAAGUGAAAGCCAUCUGAAGGAGAGCUGCCCAGGAUGGCCCACCGUAAGUCGGGACACUGAUGCAGAGAUGACAGAGACUCCACCAGGGGAGGGUGCUGAAGAGUUAGAUUCUGCUGUGCGUGAAGCCUCAAGAUGUGGACAUGAUGCCCAUCGAUUGCUAGCAAGCAUACCUUGGAGUUGUAGGGAGAGAUGGAGGAACUAAUAGCCUGUAUGGUGUGGAAUUUGGGUACAGAGAUGCCCAAACACAAAUCCAUGAAGCUUCACCAACAGGCAAAGCGAAGAAGCGUGGUCUUGUCAAAGAGUAAGGGUCAAAGGAUUUCCCAUUACGUGGAAUGCCAGAUACUGUUCGACUUGGUUCCGCCUAAGUUAGCCCACAAACUGCUGGAUGGCGGUGAUACUGGUUCCGGACCUCAACAUGGCGGAGACUUACUACAGUGAAGUCUUUGGAAUGCCAAACGAUAUCUGCGGUAACUUGCCAAAGAUACCUAUCUCCCUGGUUCAUGUAAUCGGCUCCUUGCCCCAAUAACCAUUAAGGAGGUUGCUGCGGUUUUAAACCUAAGCAAAGCAAAAUCUGCAGCAGGACCUGAUGGCCUUCUUUUUGCCGACCUCAAAUACCAAAAGGAAGGGAAGAAGCAGAAAGUCGUAAGAGAAGUGGCCAAAAUUUUGAGAGAACGCCCAAAGAAGCAUUUCAUCAUGACUGCCUCUUGCCGACUGUGAAGCAUGGGUGUGGUGCCAUUAUGGUAUGGGAUGCGAUAUCUUGGCGCGGUCUUGAGCCACUUGUUAUUCUGCGUGGGAGGAUCACUAUCUAAGCAUUCUAGGGGAUCAUGUCCAGAUUGUAUUCCCUGGGGAGCACUCACUUUUUCAAGCCAACAACAUACCUAUCCACACUGCUAGGUGUAUUCAAGUCGGUGAGCAUGACGAUGCAAUUGAACAUCUCGCUUGGCCCCCUCAGUCUUUGAACUUGAAUAUUAUUGAACAUUUAUGGGCAUAUUUGGAGUCCAAACUUUGUUCCCGAUUUCCACCUCUAUCUGGACUUUCGAAGUUAGAGACCGCUCUGCUGGAAGAAUAGCUUAAUAUUCCUUUAAAUAAUGUUCAUGACCUUUAUGCAUCUAUCCCAUGUCGCAUUCAAUCUGUACUUUAGUCAAAGGGUGGUCCAACCCCCUAUUAAUAAAAGUUUUCCAUUAUUUCACAGGUGUUCGUAUUAUUUUGUCCUUCAUCUACGGCAGUAAUACUAUUGGACUUCGUCAAAGUCUUCGACACGGUCGACCAUGAAUACUUGUUCCAAGCUCUGAAUCACUUGAACAUAUGCGAGGGGUUCAUGUCGAUGAUCAGGGAUUUGUAUGGAAUAUCAGUCACCCACAUUAGUGUAGGAGAUCAGCAAUCUGGCGACAUCCGGUUCAGACGUGGAGUGAAGCAAGGAAACCCAAUGUCUCCCCUGCUAUUUAAUAUAGCAGUCGACCCGCUGUUAACCCAACUGCUGGACAGAGAGCGAGGUGGGGUACUGCAUGGAACAACCAUGCAUCUAAGCUGUUUAGCAUAUGCAGAUGAUUUGAAUUCCAAGAUGUAGCUCUUAUUGACAUGUACUUUGGCUGCCCCUGAUUUAGAAUCUGUGUCAUCAGUUUGAUACUUUGAUCUUCCAUUAAUGUGCUAUAUAAAAGAUCAUGGUGUGCAGGGAUGCUUGUAGUGACUUUUCUACAUUGCUUUUCAGAAAUAUGCAAAAGAUAAAAUAUACAUGUUAAAUUAAAAGUUGGAAAAGUUAAUUUAUUGUGCAAUCUAAUGUAAUUAUUUGUAUGUAGUUAUGUCCUUUAAAAUGUAUCUAUUUAAUGCAUCCAUGGGGAAUUUUAAAGAUUAUGAAUGUUAAAAGUUUCGACAACUUUUUCUGAUAUCUGUUUUCUAGCUGUGUGAUCAAAUGUUUGUAUUAAAAACAGAAAAUUCUUUAUUAAAAAAUGUUUUGAAUGAAAGUAAAGAUUUUUUAUUCCAUAUUCAGGUAAAUUUUUAAAAAAGGGGGGAAGAUUAAGUUUUGUAUUUAAUAUCAAAUAACACAUUCUUGGUAUCUUAUUGUUAAUGUUACACUUUCAGAAAAUUUUUAAUUGAUUUGAGCAAGGAUUUUGUGACUUAGCAUUAUAUUCAGCAAUGUAAGGAAAAUUUUAAUCUUUUCCACACACACUUAAAAAUUUUUACAAUCAUAUUUCAGGGAAAAAAGCAUAAAAUUAAUUUAUUUAAAAAUCUUAAUGUAAAACUGAAUUUCAUGUAGACUGUGUUUACAGCAGCUAACUAAAUCAUACCUAAGCAAAAUGCUUAUAAAGACAGAUUUCUCAGUUCAGAUUAAAGUUGCCUCUAAACAAUAAAAAAAAUAUUUUAUAUUUUAAUAUUAUAAAACAGUAGUAGAAUAUGAGGAUAUAAAAAGAUGAAAUCAGAACUUAAUAAUUAAUUAUAUAUAAUUAAGCACCAUACCAACAGAAACCUAGUUUUGCAAUUAAUUUAAUAUUUUAGAACUUGCAGCAAAACAUGAGGUAUUAUAUUAUUAAACGGCAUUAAAAUAUUGCAUAAAAUGUUUAAAAAAAAAAGAGAGGUACUGAAAUUAUUUACUUACACCAUUCUGCAUGGUUUUCUUAUAACUGUAAUAAGCAACCAAACAGCCAUAUUUAAGCAAAAAUUUACCAUUUUCAAGUGAUGAAGGAACAAUUUUUUUAUUAUUAUUAAAUAGUGCAAAACAAUAAAAUAGACCAUAAAUUUUAGUUGCCGGCUUCAGAACUGAUAUUUAAUAAGCAUAUUUAAGUAGCUACUUGAAAUAAAAACAAAAUUCAUAACACUAAAAUGCAUUAAAUGUCAGACAAAUAGUUAAUUAAUUUAAUAUUUUAGAACUUGCAGCAAAACAUGAGGUAUUAUAUUAUUAAACGGCAUUAAAAUAUUGCAUAAAAUGUUUAAUCUUUUCCAAGUUAUGAAAGGUAAAACACUAAAAUUUUUAAAGAGAUAAUAUACCUGUUAGGCUAUAUUUGUAUGUAAGAUUUCAUAGUUUAAAUAUUUUACAGACUUUAUGUAAUAAAUAUUUUAUCGAAUAUGUUAUACCAGUUUUUCCCUUGAGCAAGUAUUAAUUUAAUAUCAUUAGAACUAUUUGUCUGACAUUUAAUGCAUUUUAGUGUUGAAUUUUUUUUUAUUUAAGUA